UACGGGGGGGGCAAGCGUUGUUCGGAAUUACUGGGCGUAAAGGGCUCGUAGGCGGCCAACUAAGUCGGAUGUGAAAUCCCCAGGUUUAACCUGGGAACUGCAUCCGAUACUGGAUGGCUUGAAUCCGGGAGAGGGAUGCAGAAUUCCAGGUGUAGCGGUGAAAUGCGUAGAGAUGGGGGAGAACACUCGUGGCGAAGGCGGCCAGCUAGACCAGUUCUGACACUGAGGCGCGACAGCGUGGGGAGCAAACAGG
rnacentral:rRNA from 1 species